AAGUCAUACUGUUACUGAUUACACAAUAUUAUCUGUUGAUUCUGAUUAAUUUCUUCAGUUUCAGGUGUGUGAUGUUCUCCGUGGUCUCUGUGGACCCGGGCUGAGAGGAGCUGCUGCUCUCCUGUAGGAAACGCUGUGGUUCGGCAGCUGGUUUGACAGCGUGACUCUGACAUUUGGUUCUGUGGUUUAAACCGUCCGUCCAGCUCAGAGCUCAGGAGCUCCAGAGAAUCAAACAGCAGCUGCUGCUUCACCUACAUGCAGUUAGAGAACAGGACAGAAUGAAGCAGGGCUUAAAGAUCUGCUCAGUCCCUCCAUCCAGACUAACAGCAUCAGAUCAGCUCCACCUCCUUUCAGACCCACAGCAUCGAGUCGUUUUCUCACAGCGGGAGGAUGAACAGAAACACCUGUGGAUGAUCUCAGAUCUGAGGCGAGAGCAGAGGAUGAAGAUGAAAGCUGUAAGUGCUGUCUCUCUGAUGCAGAGCUGUGGCGGUGGUCUCCCAGGUGUUCUGGAGG
rnacentral:lncRNA from 1 species